rnacentral:tRNA from 1 species
GCAGGUGUAGUUUAAUGGUAAAACAUCAGCUUCCCAAGCUGAGGUCGGGGGUUCGAUUCCCCUCACCUGCUCCA